rnacentral:lncRNA from 1 species
AGGCUGGGGAUGCGAUUGCGCCGCUUCUUCCUCGAGCGAUGAUGCUCCACAUUGCUUCUGCGGCACGGUGACCUGAUCCUCGCCGUUGCUGAGGCGGCCUCCGGUGGAAUCGGCGUGAAAUUUUCCGACGAGAUGCCGGGGUUACAUCACCACUGAGAGAGGCGGCCCCACGCGAUGGCAGCUCGCUGCAGGUAUCUGGUAAUAGUUCGGUAUGACUCUGGAGAUUAAGUUAGGAGAAAAGGAGUGGAGCUACAACUACGGAGAACCAAAACGGGAAACAUAGGUGGAAGAUUGAUUGAUUAUCAUCAUCCUCAUGCAGAUAUCUCGCAAAAAAAAUAUGUAUGAUUCAAAAGAUGACGAGUGGAAGAGGAAUGUAUUUAGAACGGCUCACAAGUAAUGCUAGAAAAAAGGUGUACAAAUCAGAUCGUUCCUGUUAUAGCCUCAUAGCUGCAAAUUUUUUUAAUGAUUAAAAAAAAUACAGUGACUGACUAGGAACUGAUCUAGAAUUGCAUACAAGCAGCGCCUGUGACUCAGUUUUCUGCAUCCACUGCUCCGGAAAACCUUUUGCAAUUCUGGUUAUUUCCCAACACAAAGAACAAUACUCAAGAAUGACUAAUUUUCACUAGUGGUGAAGCUGAGGAAGAUCCAGAAAAGGCUUUGCCUCCCUGAAUUCAAGCCAAGGAAGAGGUUGACUUCCAAGACUAUCAAGGAAUACAAAACAAUGAUGAAGCUCUACCGUCACUGUAUUUUCCAAAGAUCUUGAUCUGUUGUUGUUUCAGUCACCCGGUCGCACGCUUCAAACACUGAACCACCUGGCUCAUGGUGGGGCGGCCUUUUGGAUUUGCAGAGAGGCAGCUAUUUGCAAGCUUGGCAACAUACUGUGCGGCAGAGCUGGAGUAUCGAUUCUUCAGCCUGGGAUCGAUUAUCAUGGUAAACC